GGCUGGGUGGCGCAAUGGUAGCGCGUUACUUUCCGGUUAAAUCAACUCUCAGUUGGUAAAGGCUCUGGGUUCGAGUCCCAGCUCGGUCG